rnacentral:misc_RNA from 1 species
CCUGGUCGGUCGAAUGGUAGCGCUAAACUAAACUCCUGUAUUUAUAUUACGCAGCGUAGAAAAUGGCCGAAAGGGCCCAGAGCUACUUUUGUAAUGUAGUUGAAAGGUAUCCAUGAUAGGAAGAAGACGAAGUGUAGCUGAGUGUGGGAAGGGAGAUACAAAACAUCCUUAUCAUCCUUCUCAUUUCUUAGCUUAUAGAUCAAACAGAAACAGUCAGUCCUGGGAUGAAAGCUCGUCUUAUGACGGAGAUAGACCCGGCUCGAGGUUGACAGUUAUUCAGAGUCCAUGUCACAGCCACGAGUACGAAGAUGAUCUUAGUAUCGUCGACCUGGACUCUCCUGGAUUCAUUGACGAGACGAAUCCAGUUUCUCCGUGUGAGGAACCCACUGGACCAUUCCACUGUGAGGAAUGUUUAAAGAAUUUUCCAAGUCCCGGUAAACUUCGACAACACGAGUUGACACACUCAGGGGAUACUCCGUUCGAGUGUUCAGUUCCAGGUUGUGAGAAAAAAUUUACUUCCAAGUUUAAGCUGAAGAGGCACAUUCUUAUUCAUUCUCAGAACAAAACAUUCUCUUGUGAUACAUGCAACAGAGCAUUUCGUAGGAAAGAUCAUUUAAAAAAUCACGAGAAAGUCCACGACCCCGGUAAAACUGUAUAUUCCUGUAACUAUAGCAGAUGUCCUAGAACAUACAAUUCAAUCUCAAGCUUUAAAAAGCAUCAGGCCAUGCACUCGGCAGAAGAAGGACAGCUAGACUGCAAAAUUUGCAAAACCAUUUGGGACAAUCAGGAUGAACUGAUGAACCAUCUAAAGAUCCACACCGGAUCACGAACAACCAAAGGAUUAUUGGAUAAAAAGUUUGCAUGUAAUCAAUGUGAGAGAAAGUUCUUUACGAGAAAGGAUUUGAAGAGACACAGUGUUGUGCACACGGGGAACCGUGAGUUCAGUUGUCCUCAUUGCUCUCAAAGGUUUGGAAGAAAGGAUCAUAUGACAAGACACGCUAAGAAAACUCAUCAGCAGUUUUAUGAUCCUGAACAGCUGAGACUCAGGACUCCAACCCCAACCAAGCUGGAGAUUGCCCGGAGCUCGCGCAGUGAGCGAUCAGUGUCUGAUCCUGGACCUACUCCGCGCUCUAGGUUCAGCCCGGAGAAACUAGCCCCCGUCACAAGUCCGACCCAUGUUGUUGUUGAUUUUCAGAAACUUGGAACUGAAGAUGAAUCCGCCCCGUCUUCCACAAUAUCCUAUUUAAUGGACUCCGAGAAGAAUUAUAUCCAGGAGGACCGGAAGCCUAGCUCUCUGUACUCAGCUACUGAUAUAGUUGGACAGGAGAAUAUACCCGGUUUAAACACGGACGGAGAUCAAUUAUUUAUCCUUCCUGACAAAAUCAAUGCACAAAUGUCAGAUAAUUCAUUUGAAACAAUAAAUCACUCUCAACUUCAGGGAUAUGAUAUUAAGCCCUCUCUUCGUAUGAUUGAAAGGAAGUACACGGAUAUGCCUCCCCUGAUUCCAAUAGAGACCGAACAUCUAAAGAAACUGGAAACCUACUCCGAGGAUUCAAACUCUGCUGAGAAUGCUAUGAAGGAACUCCUGGAGGAGAAGGAUAAUAUUGAUUUUGAUUCCUUCAUCAAUGAAAUAGGAGUAGAUAUCUUCCAGAAGAAACCAGCCAGAAUCUCUUCAAAUACGUAUGCCGAGAUUAAAGAUGAACCGAGAUCGUGUCCCGGUUCCCCCGAUCCUGCAACCAUUAUGACAUUCCCCCAAGUUGAUCCUUUAUCCGGGUUCUGCUCUAAUCUGGAGGCGAAACCGGUUCCAAAACCUAUAUUUAUAAGAACCCAGAGCCAGGAUUCCCUGACUCGGACGAAGAACCCUGUUUUGCCUAGUAUUCAUUUCGAGGGAAGCCUAGUGGUUCCGGAACCUAAACAAGUUCGAUAUUCGUCUCAGGAUCCGUUUACUCUGGAGUACGAUGACGAAUCUCAACAGUUAACGGAAUUGAAAGGAAGUCUUUUCAUGACAGAUGAGGAAAAUCAAGCUUAUUUUCAACCUUGGAAUUAGGAUUUAUAUCCAUGUAGGAUUUAUAUUCUAUAACCUACACCGGAGCAAUUGUCUUUAUCCUACUCGGAGCCUCGAUAUUCAUCCUACUCAUUUAUACCUCAAUCGUAGGUAGGAUAUUUACUCCACCCUGGAGCAGGAUCUAUAAUCUAACCUGGAGCAUAAUCUAUAUCCCAACCUGGAGCAGGAUUUACAUCCCACCCUGGAGGAGAAUCUAUAUCCCACCCUGGUAGCUAGGACCUAUAUCGAACCCUGGAGCAGGAUUUAUAUCCUACCCAUAGAACUAGGAUUAAUUCCUUUCCUGGAUCACGAUUUAUUUCCUAACCUGGAGCUAGGAUAGCGAAAGUUCUCUGGGCAAACGCCCCUCGUAUUUUCAAAAUACUUUAAACAAUUAUUUGCAUAAAAGUAAUCUAAAAUUUUUCUAAAAAUCGACCCUGCAUAUUAUAUAUUCCCACCCUUCAAGGAACCUGUGAAUAUUAAGUUUGAAAGUUUAAAGUAAGCAGUAUUAUUAAUAUUUCUGUCUGGUCCAUAUCUAUAUAUUUAGACCUACGGUAGAACGGGUGCAAUAAUUCAAUACAGGUCUUUGUUCCACCAGAAUUAAUGUUUGAUCAACCCCUGAUAUAUUUUUAUAAAUUUUGUUUAAUCCCUUAAUAUGCUCUUGAAUCACAAUUUGAAUGUUUGCGAUAUAUUUAUAUUUUGUAAUUAUCUUGUAUCAACAUAUAUUCCUCAGAUUUAAGUUAAGUUUAUCAUAUAUUUUUUCAAUGCAUCAGCAGUGAACACUAUUUUUCUAUAAAUGUGAAAAUGUGAAAGUUAAAAACUAUUGAAUCCCGCUGAACUGCUCAAUCCAACAUCAACUCAAGACUGGAGUUUGAACUAAAGAGGAGCAGUGUGUGUGAAUGAAUCCUCGCAUGAUUUGAAAACUAUUUUUGUAUUCUUUAAUAUUACUGAGGUUGGAUCAUUAUCAUAAACUACUUGAUUGUGAUGAGUACACAGUAAGGAUUAGAAACUAUAUAUUUUUUUAUCAUUCAUUACUAAUUUGUACCAAGAGGUUAAAUAAAGUUUUUAAUUACUUUCAAAUUUGUCAUAUCUUCCAAAUACCAAAUUUAUUGCUGAUUAUAUAGAGACUAUCCUUGUGUAUUGUAUAUAUAGAUUAUAGAAUAAUACUGUUCAAAAUAAUAUCUUAAACAAAUAUAUAUAUUUCUAGAAAA